UUGAGAUGCUUAAAGCCAAUCCCAUUCUUUUAAUUGUAAUAGACAGCAAUGGGCAAGGCAUCCUUCAUCAUGCUAUUAAAUAUCGGCAAGAAAAGAUUUUCAGCCUUAUAUAUGCGUUGGAUACAAGGAAGCACUUGCUGAUUUCUGGAACUGACAAAAAGAAAAAUAACAUUUUACACACUGCAGCGAUGUUAGCACCUCCUAGCCGACUUGCAAGCAUUUCAGGUGCAGCUUUGCAGAUGCAAAGAGAGCUACAGUGG
rnacentral:misc_RNA from 1 species